GAUGAACGCUGGCUACAGGCUUAACACAUGCAAGUCGAGGGGAAACGACGGGGAAGCUUGCUUCCCCGGGCGUCGACCGGCGCACGGGUGAGUAACGCGUAUCCAACCUGCCUCUGACUGAGGGAUAACCCGUCGAAAGUCGGCCUAAUACCUCAUGGCAUCGUCUGCGGGCAUCCAACGACGAUUAAAGAUUUCAUCGGUCAGGGAUGGGGAUGCGUCUGAUUAGCUUGUUGGCGGGGUAACGGCCCACCAAGGGUACGAUCAGUAGGGGUUCUGAGAGGAAGGUCCCCCACAUGGGAACUGAGACACGGUCCAAACUCCUACGGGAGGCAGCAGUGAGGAAUAUUGGUCAAUGGGCGGGAGCCUGAACCAGCCAAGUAGCGUGCAGGAUGACGGCCCUAUGGGUUGUAAACUGCUUUUAGGCGGGGAUAAAGUGAGGGACGUGUCCUUCAUUGCAGGUACCGCAUGAAUAAGGACCGGCUAAUUCCGUG
rnacentral:rRNA from 1 species